AUUGAACGCUGGCGGCAGGCUUAACACAUGCAAGUCGAGCGGGGUGAUGGUGCUUGCACUAUCACUUAGCGGCGGACGGGUGAGUAAUGCUUAGGAAUCUGCCUAUUAGUGGGGGACGACAUCUCGAAAGGGAUGCUAAUACCGCAUACGUCCUACGGGAGAAAGCAGGGGAUCACUUGUGACCUUGCGCUAAUAGAUGAGCCUAAGUCGGAUUAGCUAGUGGGUGGGGUAAAGGCCUACCAAGGCGACGAUCUGUAGCGGGUCUGAGAGGAUGAUCCGCCACACUGGGACUGAGACACGGCCCCGACUCCUACGGGAGGCAGCAGUGGGGAAUAUUGGACAAUGGGGGGAACCCUGAUCCAGCCAUGCCGCGUGUGUGAAGAAGGCCUUAUGGUUGUAAAGCACUUUAAGCGAGGAGGAGGCUCUUUUGGUUAAUACCCAGAAUGAGUGGACGUUACUCGCAGAAUAAGCACCGGCUAACUCUGUGCCAGCCGCCGCCGUAA
rnacentral:rRNA from 1 species